rnacentral:rRNA from 1 species
UACGUAGGGGGCUAGCGUUGUCCGGAAUCAUUGGGCGUAAAGAGCGUGUAGGCGGUCCGGUAAGUCCGCUGUGAAAGUCGGGGGCUCAACCCUCGAAUGCCGGUGGAUACUGUCGGGCUAGAGUGCGGAAGAGGCGAGUGGAAUUCCUGGUGUGGCGGUGAAAUGCGCAGAUAUCGGGAGGAACACCAGUAGCGAAGGCGGCGCUCUGGGCCGGUACUGACGCUGAGGAGCGAAAGCGUGGGGAGCGAACAGG